GACGAACGCUGGCGGCGCGCUUAACACAUGCAAGUCGAGCGAGAACUAGGACUUCGGUCCUGGGGACAGCGGCGAACGGGUGAGUAACACGUGGAUAACCUGCCCUCGGCACCGGGAUAGCCCGGGGAAACUCGGAUUAAUACCGGAUAGCCCUUCCGACUCUCGAGUCGGUCCGAAAAGGUAGCUUCGGCCUCUGGCCGAGGAUGGGUCCGCGGCGGAUUAGCUUGUUGGUGGGGUAAUGGCCUACCAAGGCUU
rnacentral:rRNA from 1 species